UCGAACGAUGAAGCCCUUCGGGGUGGAUUAGUGGCGAACGGGUGAGUAACACGUGGGCAAUCUGCCCUUCACUCUGGGACAAGCCCUGGAAACGGGGUCUAAUACCGGAUAAUACUUGCCGAGGCAUGGCGGGGGGUUGAAAGCUCCGGCGGUGAAGGAUGAGCCCGCGGCCUAUCAGCUUGUUGGUGAGGUAGAAGCUCACCAAGGCGACGACGGGUAGCCGGCCUGAGAGGGCGACCGGCCACACUGGGACUGAGACACGGCCCAGACUCCUACGGGAGGCAGCAGUGGGAAUAUUGCACAAUGGGCGAAAGCCUGAUGCAGCGACGCCGCGUGAGGGAUGACGGCCUUCGGGUUGUAAACCUCUUUCAGCAGGGAAGAAGCGAAAGUGACGGUACCUGCAGAAGAAGCGCCGGCUAACUACGUGCCAGCAGCCGCGGUAAUACGUAGGGCGCAAGCGUUGUCCGGAAUUUUUGGGCGUAAAGAGCUCGUAGGCGGUCUGUCACGUCGGAUGUGAAAGCCCGGGGCUUAACCCCGGGUCUGCAUUCGAUACGGGCAGACUAGAGUGUGGUAGGGGAGAUCGGAAUUCCUGGUG
rnacentral:rRNA from 1 species